rnacentral:rRNA from 1 species
UACAGAGGUCUCAAGCGUUGUUCGGAUUCAUUGGGCGUAAAGGGUGUGUAGGUGGCGCCGUAAGUCGGGUGUGAAAUUUCGGAGCUUAACUCCGAAACUGCAUUCGAUACUGCGGUGCUUGAGGACUGGAGAGGAAACUGGAAUUACGGUGUAGCAGUGAAAUGCGUAGAGAUCGUAAGGAAGACCAGUGGCGAAGGCGAGUUUCGUGGACAGUUACUGACGCUGAGGCAGCGAAGGCCAGGGGAGCAAACGGG